rnacentral:tRNA from 1 species
GGGCCCGUAGUUUAGUCUGGCUACUCCCCAACUGAUGUUGGGAAAGGGCAAUUAUAAUGCUCGACUGAUAAUCGAGUGGUCCGGAGUUCGAAUCUCCGCGGGCCCA